rnacentral:rRNA from 1 species
UACAGAGGUCCCAAGCGUUGUUCGGAUUCAUUGGGCGUAAAGGGUGCGUAGGCGGCGCGGUAAGUCGGGGUGUGAAAUCUCGGAGCUUAAACUCCGAAAACUGCAUUCGAUACGGGCAGGCUAGAGUUCGGUAGGGGAGACUGGAAUUCCUGGUGUAGCGGUGAAAAUGCGCAGAUAUCAGGAGGAACACCGGUGGCGAAGGGCGGGGU